UGAAGAAGCAAUGAACCAAUUUGAUGUCUGAAUGCAAGGGAGGUCAAUACUAUACCAUUUUCGAAGGGAAGGAUCAUAGGCAUAACCAACUGGCUCCUCUGAGCUUGUGAACAUAAAGUACCACGGUUUUUGAGACAGCACCUGAGAGAAGUUCCAUAAAAACCUUCUUGAAUUCACUAUCUCACACCAUCUUUACACACACA
rnacentral:misc_RNA from 1 species